rnacentral:rRNA from 1 species
AUUGAACGCUGGCGGAAUGCUUUACACAUGCAAGUCGAGCGGCAACACGGGGGCAACCCUGGUGGCGAGCGGCGAACGGGUGAGUAAUACAUCGGAACAUGCCCAGUCGUGGGGGAUAACACUUCGAAAGAAGUGCUAAUACCGCAUACGUCCUGAGGGAGAAAGCGGGGGAUCUUCGGACCUCGCGCGAUUGGAGUGGCCGAUGUCAGAUUAGCUAGUUGGUGGGGUAAAGGCCUACCAAGGCAACGAUCUGUAGCUGGUCUGAGAGGAUGAUCAGCCACACUGGGACUGAGACACGGCCCAGACUCCUACGGGAGGCAGCAGUGGGGAAUUUUGGACAAUGGGCGAAAGCCUGAUCCAGCCAUGCCGCGUGUGUGAAGAAGGUCUUCGGAUUGUAAAGCACUUUAAGUUGGGAGGAAGGGUUGUAGAUUAAUACUCUGCAAUUUUGACGUUACCGACAGAAUAAGCACCGGCUAACUUCGUGCCAGCCGCCGCAGUAACAC